CGGACGGGUGAGUAAUGUCUGGGAAACUGCCUGAUGGAGGGGGAUAACUACUGGAAACGGUAGCUAAUACCGCAUAACGUCGCAAGACCAAAGAGGGGGACCUUCGGGCCUCUUGCCAUCGGAUGUGCCCAGAUGGGAUUAGCCAGUAGGUGGGGUAACGGCUCACCUAGGCGACGAUCCCUAGCUGGUCUGAGAGGAUGACCAGCCACACUGGAACUGAGACACGGUCCAG
rnacentral:rRNA from 1 species